rnacentral:rRNA from 1 species
AUUGAACGCUGGCGGCAUGCCUUACACAUGCAAGUCGAACGGUAACAGGUCUUCGGAUGCUGACGAGUGGCGAACGGGUGAGUAAUGCAUCGGAACGUGCCCAGUAGUGGGGGAUAGCCCGGCGAAAGCCGGAUUAAUACCGCAUACGACCUGAGGGUGAAAGGGGGGGAUCGCAAGACCUCUCGCUAUUGGAGCGGCCGAUGUCAGAUUAGCUAGUUGGUGGGGUAAAGGCCUACCAAGGCAACGAUCUGUAGUUGGUCUGAGAGGACGACCAGCCGCACUGGGACUGAGACACGGCCCAGACUCCUACGGGAGGCAGCAGUGGGGAAUUUUGGACAAUGGGCGCAAGCCUGAUCCAGCAAUGCCGCGUGCAGGAAGAAGGCCUUCGGGUUGUAAACUGCUUUUGUCAGGGAAGAAAUCUUCUGGGCUAAUACCCUGGGAGGAUGACGGUACCUGAAGAAUAAGCACCGGCUAACUACGUGCCAGCCGCCGCGGUAAUAC